rnacentral:rRNA from 1 species
GUCGGGAAUUUUGGGCAAUGGGCGAAAGCCUGACCCAGCAACGCCGCGUGAAGGAUGAAAUCCUUCGGGAUGUAAACUUCGGAAGAAUAGGAAGAAUAAUGACGGUACUAUUUUUAAGGUCCGGCUAACUACGUGCCAGCAGCCGCGGUAAUACGUAGGGACCAAGCGUUGUUCGGAUUUACUGGGCGUAAAGGGCGCGUAGGCGGCAUGAUAAGUCACUUGUGAAAUCUCCGGGCUUAACUCGGAGCGGCCAAGUGAUACUGUUAAGCUAGAGUGCAGAAAGGGCAAUCGGAAUUCUCGGUGUAGCGGUGAAAUGCGUAGAUAUCGAGAGGAACACCUGAGGCGAAGGCGGGUUGCUAGGCUGACACUGACGCUGAGUGCGCGAAAGCUAGGGUAGCAAACGGGAUUAGAAACCCGGGUAGUCC